GGAGAGAGAGAGAGUGAGUGAGGGGGUUGUCUCCCUUUCUUUAUUCUUCACCAUUUGACAGUAGUGUGAUGUUGUUUUUAAUAUAAACAUAUGUUUUUUUAAUGCAUGUGUAUUGAAUUAAUCUAUAUAAAAGGGGCAAUUUCAUCGUUAAAUGUAGUCUUAUAAUACUUUCAGAAAAGACAGAGUUGAGAAAGUUUACUGCUCUCAUAUGUAUAUAUUCUUGUUUUGCUAUGUGAGUAGUGAAACAUAAUGUUGUUUUUUUUGUAAAACAUGUGAUGUAGCAAUAAUUUCUAAAGAAAAGAUUAAAAGCUAAAC
rnacentral:misc_RNA from 1 species